UCCAGUUUAUUGACAAAAACUUCAGCCCACCAUUCUAUAUCUUUCAUACUCUAUUCUCUUCUUCAAAUCAACCGUAACCCUUCUCUCAUAUCUAUACAUGUUUAUUAAUUGAUGAGUAUGUUUUGCAACUCGACCGGGCAGAUGAAUUUUAAGCAUAUGAGUUCUCAUUUCCUCAAUUUGCGAAUGAAAAUUACUGAGUUGGGUUUUCACGAUUAGGUUAGGGUUUGGCUUUAAUGUUUGUGGAGGGAUAUAUCUUUGGGUUCCGGCAAUUGAAAGGAGAAAAUUGAAUAUGCCAUUGUAGUUGAUUUCCCAAAAUCCGAUUCAGGUGGGAUAGUUUCCAUGGCAGAACAAGCAUUCAAAAGGAAUUGGUGCAUCCCUUGCUUCUUUCCCAGUGGAGAAACUAAAAACUUAUAAUUGUGCUUGCGGAUGGUAAUAAGAUCUCCCCCUCUGAAUUUGAAGAACUUUUACAUUUCAAUUCUCUUGCUAUUGUUAACCAACCAGCUCCUUCUUCACACAAUUUCUCAUCUACAAAGCUCACAAUAUUAUGUCAGGUUCGUAAAUUAGUCAUUAUCUUAUGCAGUUUUCCCAUUAAAUCGUGUUGCUCCUGCAUUUGACGCUAAUGUCAUCAAAAAUAUAGGAGGCAAGAGCUUUUGCUGUUGUUGGAGUAUACAAACAAGAUAUGGUAAGCAAGAUGGCAAAAGAGCUACAAAGUCAUGGCAUGAAGAGAUUAGUAGUUGUUCAUUCUGAAGGUUUACAUUAAAUGAGUCCUUUGGAUCUGGAGCAGUCCUUGAUGUUACACCUAAAAAGAUUAAAAAAUUCUCCUCUAACCCAUUUGAUUUUGUAUACCUCGCUGCACUUUAUAGAACCUGCAAGAGAGAGCCAAUGUACAAUCUUGAGAUACUAAGGCGUGUGCUUUCAGGUGAAAGAAAAGGGGCCAAUGGAAUGAUGUGUGAAGUAUUUGAUGCUAUUCUGUUGAGAGAUUGUCAUUGGGUGAGACUAGCAUGAUAAGCUCGAGUGCAAUAAAAGGAUGAUGAAGUUGAGCUACGGUUUUAUUGAUUCUCUCAAUACUUGGUCGAUGAUUUGUCCACAAGAAAAUCGAGAAAUUAUGCAAUUUUUUUUGGUUGAUUAUUACUUGAUUUCUUAAGAAAAUGGGAAUACCCUAUUUUGGAUCUCAAGCAUACUUUCAAGGAUGACUUUUUCAAGCUAUUUUUCGGUCAUUAUAUUUGUCAUUGCAAAUUUUUUAUUUGCUA